CCUACGGGCGGCAGCAGUGAGGAAUAUUGGUCAAUGGACGAGAGUCUGAACCAGCCAAGUAGCGUGAAGGAUGACUGCCCUAUGGGUUGUAAACUUCUUUUAUAAAGGAAUAAAACGAGGCACGUGUGCCUUUUUGCAUGUACUUUAUGAAUAAGGAUCGGCUAACUCCGUGCCAGCAGCCGCGGUAAUACGGAGGAUCCGAGCGUUAUCCGGAUUUAUUGGGUUUAAAGGGAGCGUAGAUGGGUUGUUAAGUCAGUUGUGAAAGUUUGCGGCUCAACCGUAAAAUUGCAAUUGAUACUGGCAGUCGUGAGUACAGUUGAGGUAGGCGGAAUUCGUGGUGUAGCGGUGAAAUGCUUAGAUAUCACGAAGAACCCCGAUUGCGAAGGCAGCUUACUAAACUGUGACUGACAUUGAUGCUAGAAAGUGUGGGUAUCAAACAGGAUUAGAUACCCCAGUAGUG
rnacentral:rRNA from 1 species